CCAAGUCAGCGGCGCGGCAUUGUCGUAAAAAGACUGUAACCCGGAGGAGGAAGAGGCGGGGUUGACGGUGCUCCUCAGACGCGAAGCUUAUUACACUACCUUUCAGACACUCCAGAGGAAGAGACAGGAGGAUCUCUGUAUGAGGCCAGCCUGAACUACAUAGCAAGAUCCUGACUCAAACACACAUCCUCCCCACCCAAGCCAGAAGGAUACUUGCAGUUUGGGAAGUCAGAAGCAGAAUCUCUUGAAUCCUUGGCAAUAUGCCUUCGAGCCUGCUAGAAGAGGCCCAGUUGGUACGGUAAUACUUAUUCACCAAGCUGGUCAUCGACGAGAGUGAGGAUAUCCUAGACGGAGCAAGAAUGGGCAGAGGCUGAAGAACCUACUAUGAAGUUUACUUUUCAAGCAUAGAAAAUUCGGGCUACAUAGCCUCUUUUACAAGGCAACAUUUUUUUUAACCUUAAAAACAGAGGAAAAAUGAAAAGUGGACAAGCAAACUUUGGAGAUAAGAUGAGGGCUAAAUUUAAAGUCCUAGAGAAACUGAAGCCUAGAGACAAUUCAACUCCACCUCCAUGUCCAUCUCUUUCUACUUUCAUCCAGACCAGGCACCUACCUGGGUUUUGGAGUACACAGAACCCGAGAUAUCUGGCACGCCCGUGUUGCUGGAGGUGACUGAUACACCUAGAGGAGGAGGAAGCACAGAGGAUUAGCUGUUAUCAGCCUGAGUGUUCCUAGGACAGCGUGGUGUCUGCAGCCUUUCUAGCUAUGGCACUGCAAAGGAAUUCUGCAUUGGCUCCUGGUGUCCAGAAAGACAUGCACGGAAAGAACGCAGAGUUAGCUAAAGAAAUACCACAGUUUAUUGAAGACUACAAAUAUUUUUUGUUACAAGUUGGAUCUACAUGCCUUCCAGAAAUCAAAA